GUGGGGAAUAUUGCGCAAUGGGCGAAAGCCUGACGCAGCGACGCCGCGUGAGGGAUGAAGGCCUUCGGGUUGUAAACCUCUUUCAGCAGGGACGAAGCGAAAGUGACGGUACCUGCAGAAGAAGCACCGGCUAACUACGUGCCAGCAGCCGCGGUAAUACGUAGGGUGCAAGCGUUGUCCGGAUUUAUUGGGCGUAAAGAGCUCGUAGGCGGUCUGUCGCGUCGGAUGUGAAAACUUGGGGCUCAACCCUGAGCUUGCAUUCGAUACGGGCAGACUAGAGGAUGGCAGGGGAGACUGGAACUCCUGGUGUAGCGGUGGAAUGCGCAGAUAUCAGGAAGAACACCGGUGGCGAAGGCGGGUCUCUGGGCCAUUACUGACGCUGAGGAGCGAAAGCGUGGGGAGCAAACAGGAUUAGAUACCCGAGUAGUCC
rnacentral:rRNA from 1 species